AAACUAACAAGGAUUCCCCUAGUAACGGCGAGUGAAGAGGGAAGAGCCCAAGAUUGAAAGCUGGCGUCUUCGGCGUCCGCAUUGUAAUCUCAAGAAGUGUUUUCCGCUUCGGACCAUGCCUAAGUCCCUUGGAAAAGGGCAUCAUAGAGGGUGAUAAUCCCGUACAUGGCAUGGAGCGCCCGAAGCUUUGUGAUACGCUUUCUAAGAGUCGAGUUGUUUGGGAAUGCAGCUCAAAAUGGGUGGUAAAUGCCAUCUAAGGCUAAAUAUUGGGGAGAGACCGAUAGCGAACAAGUACAGUGAUGGAAAGAUGAAAAGAACUUUGAAAAGAGAGUUAAACAGUACGUGAAAUUGCCAAAAGGGAAGGGUAGGAGGUCAGAGAUGCGGCCUGGGAUUCAGCCUUGCUUUUGCUUGGUGUUUUUCCCAGAUUGCAGGCCAACGUCGGUUUUGGGCACUGGAGAAGGGUAGGAGGAACGUGGCACCUCUCGGGGUGUGUUAUAGCCUCCUACUGGAUACAGCGACCGAGACCGAGGACAGCAGCGUACUCGCAAGAGCGGGCCUUCGGGCACCUUUACGCUUAGGGCGUUGGCAUAAUGGCCCUCUACCACCCGUCUGAAAAACGGGGGA
rnacentral:rRNA from 1 species